AGAGCGAACGCUGGCGGCAGGCCUAACACAUGCAAGUCGAGCGCCCAGCAAUGGGAGCGGCAGACGGGAUAGUAACACGUGGGAACGUACCUUUCAGUUCGGAACAACCCAGGGAAACUUGGGCUAAUACCGAAUACGCCCGUAAGGGGAAGAUUUAUCGCUGAAAGAUCGGCCCGCGUCUGAUUAGCUAGUUGGUGGGGUAAUGGCCCACCAAGGCGACGAUCAGUAGCUGGUCUGAGAGGAUGAUCAGCAUCACUGGGACUGAGACACGGCCCAGACUCCUACGGGAGGCAGCAGUGGGGAAUAUUGGACAAUGGGCGCAAGCCUGAUCCAGCCAUGCCGCGUGGAUGAUGAAGGCCCUAGGGUUGUAAAGUCCUUUCGGCGGGGAAGAUAAUGACGGUACCGCAGAGAAGCCCGGCUAACUUCGUGCCAGCAGCCGC
rnacentral:rRNA from 1 species